rnacentral:rRNA from 2 species
AAGAAAUUUAAUAAUUUUGAAAAUGGAUUUUUUUGUUUUGGCAAGAGCAUGAGAGCUUUUACUGGGCAAGAAGACAAGAGAUGGAGAGUCCAGCCGGGCCUGCGCUUAAGUGCGCGGUCUUGCUAGGCUUGUAAGUUUCUUUCUUGCUAUUCCAAACGGUGAGAGAUUUCUGUGCUUUUGUUAUAGGACAAUUAAAACCGUUUCAAUACAACACACUGUGGAGUUUUCAUAUCUUUGCAACUUUUUCUUUGGGCAUUCGAGCAAUCGGGGCCCAGAGGUAACAAACACAAACAAUUUUAUUUAUUCAUUAAAUUUUUGUCAAAAACAAGAAUUUUCGUAACUGGAAAUUUUAGAAUAUUAA